rnacentral:rRNA from 1 species
AACGAACGCUGGCGGCAUGCCUAACACAUGCAAGUCGAACGAGACGUCCGGGCUUAGUGGCGCACCGCUGCUUGACGACUGGGAACCUGCACUUAGGUUCGCUAUAACUCCCUGAAAGGGGUCUUAAUACCGGUUAAUGUCAUCGCACCAAAGAUUUCUCGCCUUUGGAUGGGCGCGCGUUAGAUUCGCUAGUUGGUAGGGUAAAAGCCUACCAAUGCCACGUUGCAUGGCUGGUCUGAGAGGAUGACAAGCUGCAAUGGAACUGAGACACGGCCCAGAAUCCGACGGAAGGGAGCAGUGGGGAAUAUUGUACGAUGAGGGAAAGUCUGAUCAAGCAAUGUGGCGUAAGUGAUGAAGGCGGUAGGGUUGUGAAGCUCUUUUACACGAGAUGAUAAUGACAGUACCGGGUGAAUAAGCUCCGGCUAACUCCGUG